AUUGGGCUUGAAACAGAAUGCCCUGAUACAUUCUCCGGGGAAAUCAAAGACAGAGCAUAGAAUGUGUUUUACAGAAUGGAAUAAAAGCAAGAGUUGGGUGAUACCUCCUAUAUUAGGAGGGAUUAAAACCGUGGGGCCUUGAUACUUAAGCGGGGAACAUACAAACAACGGCAACAGACGGCGUCUGCGUUAGUCAUUUGUUGUAAAACGACGCGCCAUCUUGCACGUCUGCGUCUCGCCGCCCAUGUAACCAGGACAACAUGAUACUUCUGUGAUGCGACUUGAGGGGCGCAGGUGGCGGCAGUGUUUCAAACUAUCUUCGCUGGAUAUUUUUGUACAGUUUCGUCUGUACGCUUAUGUUACUUGAAUUAUACUAUAUAUAACGUCACUUUGUUAAUCCGCUGUACGGUUUAUUUUGUCCUUUUCUAUCCUCGGGUUUCUUUUUUUUUUGUACUGGGAGCGACUCGUAUCCACUCCAACCAUUCUUUAAGUAUAUAUGUAUGGAUAUAUAUAUAUGUAUAUUUUUUUUUUUUAGUACAUGGAGAGACGGUGAAUUCUCGUGAGAAGCGACAGUUGGGUGCAAAGGAGAGAUCCGCAAGCCAUUUAUGGAAGAAACGAGGAGAAGGCUUCAUUGUGCUGCUAAAGAUGAAAAUGAGAACUCGAGUUAAGUCACGAUUCAUGAAUACACUCUGAGAAACCACGUGCGGGUAGAUAAUCGUGAGUUCUCCGCGGUACGCCGCGGGAUUCUCAGCGGAUGUCAGUGAACUCUGGAUAGCAGAUAUAUAGAAGUUUGUAGAGGGAAACCAAGGCCCGGUCUGAUGGAAUAUCGAUUUGUCUAUUUGAGAAAAAACGCUUGCUUCUCGUUCUCGUCAAGUGCAAGCUUGCAUUCUGGAAAUUAUAUUUAAGUAAAUUUUAUUGUGGUAAUUGAUUUUCAAUUCGUCAAUUUAAUGUUGUAUUGUAUUUAUAGAACAAAAUAAUUAAUUUCUAUCGAAAAAAAUGGCCAAAAAAUGUGGCUACAU